rnacentral:rRNA from 1 species
GCUCAGAGUAUAAGCCAAUGGAGCUUGGAAGGCUUCCGCAGCAACGGUGCAUCAUACGUGGUGUACUUAAGACCUUGAGUGUGGCUCGUCAGGCGUAGCAUUGAGUUUGCCAGGUCUAGCUGUCGUGCGGAGGGUUCGUCCUGGAGGACUUCGGUUUCGGCCGGAGGGCUCUUCGGGUCGUCCCUUUUUGAAUGGACGUUCAGAACCUCUUGUGUCUAAUGCGGUUGUGCCCACCACAGCACGUUGUGAGGUCACCCACAGGCUCAAACUGCCGAUCGCGUAUCACGGACGAUGGCAACGAUGCGUUGUCGAUGAUGGCUCGAAAGAGACUUCACUCACACGCGUGUCUAGUCCUGGGUCGGGCGGCGACCGAGAUAAACCUGGUAUGAUCCUCUAGCGACGAGCUGCUUUCUGGCCAGACCGACGCCCGGACGCCUCCACUGUGCCGGAAGCGUCAACCCCAGGCGGUGUGAACCCAGCUGCAUUAUGCAAGGUCUCUCAGCCGGGCGUUGGUCUGAGUGGUGUUAAGUCCAGCACCAUCGGUCACGUCUCGAAACACGGGCCAAGGAGUAUAGCAUGUGUGCAAGUCUAAGGGUCUCACAAAACCCGAAGGCGAAGUGAAAGCAAGACUGUGGCGGGGGAGCUACGGCAAACCCGCCGGCCUAGUGACGCUUGCGUUGCUGGCUUUAAGCAGAGCUGAUCCUGUUUUCUCGGUUAAAUCUUGGUGCAGGCGCAAGCUCCGGGCUCACGUACAACACUGGUCACGCCUCGCG